rnacentral:rRNA from 1 species
UGGGGAAUAUUGGACAAUGGAGGAAACUCUGAUCCAGCCAUGCCGCGUGAAUGAUGAAGGCCUUCGGGUUGUAAAGUUCUUUUGGUAGGGACGAUGAUGACGGUACCUACAGAAUAAGCUCCGGCUAACUUCGUGCCAGCAGCCGCGGUAAUACGAAGGGAGCUAGCGUUGUUCGGAAUUACUGGGCGUAAAGGGCGCGUAGGCGGUUUGACAAGUCAGAUGUGAAAGCCCAAGGCUUAACCUUGGAAUUGCGUUUGAUACUGUCUUUCUUGAAUUCGGGAGAGGUGAGUGGAAUUCCCAGUGUAGAGGUGAAAUUCGUAGAGAUUGGGAAGAACACCGGUGGCGAAGGCGGCUCACUGGACCGAUAUUGACGCUGAGGCGCGAAAGUGUGGGGAGCAAACA